ACUAUUUUGGCAAAAAAAUGUAAGGGUUUUAGAAGUCAUAAAUAUAUAAAAAUUUAUAUAGAUAGUA
rnacentral:tRNA from 1 species